UUUAUCGGAGAGUUUGAUCCUGGCUCAGGACGAACGCUGGCGGCGUGCCUAAUACAUGCAAGUCGAGCGGACAGAUGGGAGCUUGCUCCCUGAUGUUAGCGGCGGACGGGUGAGUAACACGUGGGUAACCUGCCUGUAAGACUGGGAUAACUCCGGGAAACCGGGGCUAAUACCGGAUGGGUGUUUGAACCGCAUGGGUCAAACAUAAAAGGGGGCUUCGGCUACCACUUACAGAUGGACCCGCGGCGCAUUAGCUAGUUGGUGAGGGAACGGCUCACCAAGGCAACGAAGCGUAACCGACCUGAGAGGGGGAUCGGGCACACUGGGACUGAGA
rnacentral:rRNA from 1 species